GGCGGCAGGCUUAAACAUGCAAGUCGAGCGCCCCGUAGGGGAGCGGCGCACGGGUGAGUAACGCGUGGGAACGUACCCUUUGCUACGGAAUAGCUCCGGGAAACUGGAAUUAAUACCGUAUGUGCCCUACGGGGGAAAGAUUUAUCGGCAAAGGAUCGGCCCGCGUUGGAUUAGCUAGUUGGUGGGGUAAUGGCCUACCAAGGCGACGAUCCAUAGCUGGUCUGAGAGGAUGAUCAGCCACAUUGGGACUGAGACACGGCCCAAACUCCUACGGGAGGCGCAGUGGGGAAUAUUGGACAAUGGGCGCAAGCCUGAUCCAGCCAUGCCGCGUGAGUGAUGAAGGCCUUAGGGUUGUAAAGCUCUUUCACCGGAGAAGAUAAUGACGGUAUCCGGAGAAGAAGCCCCGGCUAACUUCGUGCCCCAGCCC
rnacentral:rRNA from 1 species